AAUUUAAAUCCCUUAACAAGUAACAAUUAGAGGGCAAGUCUGGUGCCAGCAGCCGCGGUAAUUCCAGCUCUAAUAGUCGUAUAUUAAUAUUGUUGCAGUUAAAAAGCUCGUAGUUGAAAUUUGGGACUUUAUUAUAUUGGUUUAUUUUUGAUGAACUGUAUAAUGGGUUUCUUCCUACUAGAGUUCGAUUCUGUUCUUAAUUGAAUGGAGUAGCUAUCUUUCGGGGUGGUCAAUUGGUUGUUAUAUCUCCACUAAUGAGCAGAGAGGGGUAAAACCUUCAAAGUAAGUUAUGUGGGGUCAAGGUAUGGUGAUUAAUUGGAGUUCUAGUUCAUUUACUUUGAGAAAAUUAGAGUGUUUAAAGCAGCCUCUUGGGGGCACUGAAUACAUUAGCAUGGGGAUAAUAAAAUAGGAUCUUCACAAUAUAUUUUAUUGGUUUAAAUUGGAUAUGAAGAUAAUGAUUAAUAGGGAC
rnacentral:rRNA from 1 species